AUGCUGCACAUCCGGAAUGUGUGACAGGUUAAGCGUGUUGCGAGUAGCUAUUGGAGGGCAAGUCUGGUGCCAGCAGCCGCGGUAAUUCCAGCUCCAAGAGUGUAUAUUAAAGUUGUUGCGGUUGAAAAGCUCGUAGUUGGAUUUAUGCUAUGCUGGUACAGUCGACCCCCUGGGUAGGACUUGUAUUGUUGCAUUGCACACUGUAGAAUUUGUGUAUGUUUUUCAGUAAAUGUGCAGAAUACUACUUAGUUACUUUGAGGAAAGUGGAGUGUCACACGCAGGUUGCGCCGUGAACAUGCUAGCAUGGCAUGACGCUGUAUGACUACGAGUCUUUUUGAACGGUUUCGGGACACGUGGUAAUGAUUGAUAUGAGGUGUUGGGGAUACUCAUAUUUGACAGUUAGAGGUGAAAUUCUUGGAUUUGUCAAAGAUGAACAAAUGCAAUAGCAUUUAUCAUGGAUGUUUCAUUUGAUCAAGAACGAAAGUUAGGGGAUCGAAGACGAUCAGAUACCGUCCUAGUCUUAACCAUAAACUAUGCCAACUGGAAAUUGGAAUAUAUGGAGAGAAAAUAUAUUCAGUAUUGUGCCUGAAAAGAGUAAGUGUGUGGGCUCCGGGGGGAGUAUAGUUGCAAGACUGAAACUUAAAGGAAUUGACGGAAGGGCACCACCAGGAGUGGAGCCUGCGGCUUAAUUUGACCCAACAUGGGAAAUCUCACCAAGUCCAGACAUACGCAGGAUUGACAGAUUAAUUGCUCUUUCUCGAUUGUAUGGGUGGUGGUGCAUGGCCGUUCUUAGUUGGUGGAGUGAUUUGUCUGGUUAAUUCCGUUAACGAACGAGAUCCUAUUCUGCUAACUGUUGCAACAGUCUUUGGAAUGUUGGUACACUUAGAGGGACAUUGCGUGAGUAAUGCACGGAAGAGUCGGGCAAUAACAGGUCUGUGAUGCCCUUAGAUGUCCUGGGCUGCACGCGCGCUACAAUGGCACAUGCCCCAAUGUACCUAUGUCUGACAAGAACAUAGGAUCAAGCAACGAUGCCGUGCCGGGAAUAGAUGAUUGUAAUUUUUUAUCUUGAACGAGGAAUUCCUAGUAAGAACAGAUCAACAAUCUGUGCUGAUUACGUCCCUGCCCUUUGUACACACCGCCCGUCGCUCCUACCGAUUGAGUAAUCCGGUGAAUGGUGACGA
rnacentral:rRNA from 1 species